GCCAGCGAUGAUGACACUCUUGCCCUCACGGAGAACUGCAUUCGCUGAGGAGAUCCUGUAUGUGCUCAGAAGAGCUGAGCUGGC